UCCAGACUCCUACGGGAGGCAGCAGUGGGGGAUAUUGCACAAUGGGGGAAACCCUGAUGCAGCGACGCCGCGUGAGUGAAGAAGUAUUUCGGUAUGUAAAGCUCUAUCAGCAGGGACGAAAAUGACGGUACCUGAGUAAGAAGCCCCGGCUAACUACGUGCCAGCAGCCGCGGUAAUACGUAGGGGGCAAGCGUUAUCUGGAUUUACUGGGUGUAAAGGGAGCGUAGACGGUUAUGCAAGUCUGGAGUGAAAGGCGGGGGCUCAACCCCCGGACUGCUCUGGAAACUGUAGAACUAGAGUGCAGGAGGGGUAAGUGGAAUUCCUAGUGUAGCGGUGAAAUGCGUAGAUAUUAGGAGGAACACCAGUGGCGAAGGCGGCCUGCUGGACGACAACUGACGGUGAGGCGCGAAAGCGUGGGGAGCAACCAGGAUUAGAUACCCGGGUA
rnacentral:rRNA from 1 species